GCGCCGGUGGUUGAGUGGCACAAUACGACCUUGCCAAGGUUGUGGCCCGGGUUCGAUUCCCGGUCGGCGCA
rnacentral:tRNA from 1 species